rnacentral:rRNA from 1 species
GACGAACGCUGGCGGCGUGCCUAAUACAUGCAAGUUGAGCGAUGAAGAUUGGUGCUUGCACCAAUUUGAAGAGCAGCGAACGGGUGAGUAACGCGUGGGGAAUCUGCCUUUGAGCGGGGGAAAACAUGUGGAAACGAAUGCUAAUACCGCAUAAUAACUUUAAACAUAAGUUUUAAGUUUGAAAGAUGCAAUUGCAUCACUUAAAGAUGAUCCCGCGGUGUAUUAGCUAGUUGGUGAGGUAAAGGCGCACCAAGGCGAUGACAGGUAGCCGGCCUGAGAGGUUGACCGGCCACAUUGGGACUGAGAUACGGCCCAGACUCCUACGGGAGGCAGCAGUGGGGAAUAUUGCACAAUGGGCGGAAGCCUGAUGCAGCAACGCCGCGUGCGGGAUGACGGCCUUCGGGUUGUAAACCGCUUUCGCCUGUGACGCAGCGUGAGUGACGGUAAUGGGUAAAGAAGCACCGGCUAACUACGUG